rnacentral:rRNA from 1 species
UGGGGAAUAUUGCACAAUGGGCGCAAGCCUGAUGCAGCCAUGCCGCGUGUAUGAAGAAGGCCUUCGGGUUGUAAAGUACUUUCAUCGGGGAGGAAGGGAGUAAAGUUAAUACCUUUGGUCAUUGACGUUACCCGCAGAAGAAGCACCGGCUAACUCCGUGCCAGCAGCCGCGGUAAUACGGAGGGUGCAAGCGUUAAUCGGAAUUACUGGGCGUAAAGCGCACGCAGGCGGUUUGUUAAGUCAGAUGUGAAAUCCCCGGGCUCAACCUGGGAACUGCAUUUGAUACUGGCAAGCUUGAGUCUGGUAGAGGGGGGUAGAAUUCCAGGUGUAGCGGUGAAAUGCGUAGAGAUCUGGAGGAAUACCGGUGGCGAAGGC